rnacentral:lncRNA from 1 species
AAAGCGCAAGUUGUAGCAAUAUGGAAAUUACAAAGAUGAUUUCAAAUCCACAAUCAUGAAUAUCCGGUCAAUGACGUUUGGCUUUAGCAUAUGUUAUGCAUUAGGCUUUUAUCCUCGCCGGUCCUGAGAUUUUAAGAACCAUAAACAUUAUAUUUGACAUAUCUAAUCGACGGAAUGUGUCUCCGAAGCCAAAUAACCAAGCAUUUUAGUUGGUUAAUAAUAAAAUGGGACAUGCUUAUUGUCUUUUUUACUAAUCCAGUACUCUCUUUUUUUUUUUGAUCAAAACUAAUCCAGUACUCUAGUUGGGCUUCUAUCACUGAAUUGAUCAUAUGCACAGAACUUUCAUUCAACCAGCAAAAUAACUAAAACUGGGGCUAAUAUAAUUUCAUAUUUUGAUUGUUGUUUUAUUGGGAAACAAAAGGAUAUUCUUCUUAAUAGCGGAGAUAUGCCUAUUAGCUGGAUCGGUAGAGAAUGCAUACCACACAAAGUACAGGACAAUGUUCAUGGACAAUCCUCCUGAUUGUCAAACUCUUCGCAAGGGUGUCUUCGCUGCGGGUGCCUCCUUUGUCUUCUUCAACGCCAUUGUCUCUCAGUUCUAUUAUUUCUUCUACUCCUCUGCUGCUGACGC